UGAAGAGAAUAGCGUCCUUAGAG
rnacentral:piRNA from 1 species